rnacentral:tRNA from 1 species
AGCACGAUGGCCGAGUGGUUAAGGCGUUGGACUUAAGUUCCAAUGGACAAGUGUCCGCGUGGGUUCGAACCCCACUCAUGCUA